UUCCACAGGGCCACUGAGGAUCAUCCAGCAGAUUAGGGUCGUACUCCCGGAGCUCCCCAAAGUCAUUCCCUGAACAAAUAGAACAACUGAGGUUGAGAAAGCAGGGAAAAAACAAAAACUAAUUUGAUUCCAGUAAGGCCAGCCGUGCGAGUGUUGGGCGGUUACAUACCUGUGUCCAUGCUGCUCUGGUUGCUGUUGGCCCGGCCCAGGCUGAGGCUGCGAUGGCUGGCGUUACGGGACUGGGAGAAGGAGGAGGUGGAGUCGAUGGUGUUUCUCCGACCACCCAGAACAUUGGUGGGGUACAAGAACUGGGUGUAGGACACAGUCUGCAGACACAGAUAAAGUGGUUUAUGAUGUAAAUCAAAGAACGUUGGCACAGAAGUUCAUAAAGGGUUUGGAAAAUCUUGAGUACGUGCUAGUACAAGGAGAACAUGCACAUAGAACAAGGAAACAUGCCAGGAGACCGUGGAAGCCUGCUUAGAAAGUAAGAGCUUCUCUAACAAAUUAAAUAUCUAAAAUCUGUUUCCUGCAGUGUAGCUGAAGCUUUGCUCUUUGUUUGGGUCCUGGUGUGAAAAAAUAACGUUUUUGUCUGAACUGAUUUCUUAUGAAAGGAAUACUGUUAGUUUUACUUGUGCUUCCAUCUACCGGCAGUUGACGGUUUACUGUGUUCAGAUUUAAAUUACACUUCGCCGUACACACCACCAGCAAGUCAGUCGCUCUUUAUU